GUAUAAAAAUGGCAAAACCGUCCGAAAGGCGGUGACGCAAAGCCACGAGUCUACGUUCCCAGCCAAUGAACCAGGGGAGGGGAAUAUGAUCGUCGGGUUGCCUGC
rnacentral:ncRNA from 1 species